rnacentral:ncRNA from 1 species
GGAAAGCCGAUGAUGGAGAAAAGUAAAUCAUCCCAGCCUUGCAGGGAGAAGAAGCCGAGACUGGAAGCUUCUUUAAGGUAUGGCCGAUUGAAGUUCCCUCCGGAGUUGCUGUGCUGAAAGUUCAGUAGGUGCAGACGGGAUUUCCCGCCGUUAAAAGGGAAGAGGUAUCGGAUCAUGUCCCGUACCGGUAAAGUGGCCUUUUUGCAAUUAGGGUGGUACCACGGAAAGUAACUCCGUCCCUUGG